AAUAAAGUUAUGGAAGGCAUAUGGAAGAAUAUGUGGAGGUCCAUGGAUAUACCCUCUCCCAUGAGAUCCCAGGACCAACAGACUGAAGACACCUACUCUUUCUCCCAAAUUACAUACUAUAGGAGUACAGAUAGAAUCCUAAGCAGAGCCCUAAAGGGUGGGACCCGGAGGAUGCCCAAAAAAAAAGGCCCAUGCUCUUUGCCAUGUUCUGUAAUGAGAAAGACCCAGUGGUAGAGGAUAGAAAGUCAGGUAUAUAUUCCAUCCUGAUUUAUAAUAAAGAUGAGGAUUGUACACAGUACUAUAUUGGAACUAUGAAGAGGUGUUUGAGUAGAAGGUUAAAGGAACAUAGGAUGGACAUACAGGCAGGUAGGCUGACCACGGCAUUGGCUCUUACGGCUUAUGAACAAGAUGUUAUCAAGUGAGACAAAGCGCGUGUAGUAAGACCAUUACGGGAUGUUAGGGGCAUUAGUACCAUAGAAGCGAUAGAAAUAGAAAAAAGAAGGUGCUCCUAUGAUAUUAAUGAUAAUGAACCUGUAGCAUUGCCCCCCCUCAUGGAG
rnacentral:lncRNA from 1 species